rnacentral:rRNA from 1 species
CCUACGGGAGGCUGCAGUGGGGAAUAUUGCACAAUGGGGGAAACCCUGAUGCAGCAACGCCGCGUGAGCGAUGAAGGCCUUCGGGUCGUAAAGCUCUGUCCUAAGGGAAGAAUACUGACGGUACCUUAGGAGGAAGCCCCGGCUAACUACGUGCCAGCAGCCGCGGUAAUACGUAGGGGGCUAGCGUUAUCCGGAAUUACUGGGCGUAAAGGGUGCGUAGGCGGCCGUUAAAGUCAGAGGUGAAAGGCUACGGCUCAACCGUAGUAAGCCUGUGAAACUGUAGGGGUUGAGUGCAGGGGAGGAGGGUGGAAUGCGCAGGGUGGCGGUUAAAUGCGUAGAAAUUGGGAGGAACGCCGGUGGUGAAGGGGGCGCUUGGGGCUGGAACGGACGCUGGGGGACGAAAGAGGGGGAAGGGAAAAGGAUGAUAGACCCCUGAAGUC